GGGACUCACAAUUUGAAAUUUUAAUGGAAAAAAGAAAUACAGAAACAAAGACUGCAUUCAUUCUAGGGCAGCCCUGAAGUGACACAUUAAAUGAAAUCAAACUGCUGUAGCCUGAUCUAUACAUCAUGUAAUAAUUUGUUUUAAAACAAUAUUGCAUUAUAUGCUGUAAUUGUUAGUGGAUUGGAAUAUUGCCGAGGGAUACAGAGUCCAACCUCAUGUUACCUCCAGACAGUAAUAUUGCACAUGGCGUUCUAUGUGGCACUGUCGCGUGAUGUUGCCAUUCCAUCAAGUUACAUUUCCAGCUUGGCACUGAUACAGUUACU